rnacentral:rRNA from 1 species
CAAUAGCGUAUAUUAAAGUUGUUGCGGUUAAAAGCUCGUAGUUGGAUUUCUGUUGAGAGCGGCCGGUCCACCUUUUGGGUGAGUAUCUGGAUUGGUCUCGGCAUCCUCACAACGAAUGUUUCUGCGCUUGAUUGCGUGGUAUAGGCGUUGUGACUUUUACUUUGAGGAAAUUAGAGUGUUCAAAGCAGGCCUAUGCUCUGAAUAGGUUAGCAUGGAAUAAUAAAAUAGGACUUUGGUUCUAUUUUGUUGGUUUCUAGGACCGAAGUAAUGAUUAAUAGGGACAGUUGGGGGCAUUCAUAUUCCAAUGUCAGAGGUGAAAUUCUUGGAUUAUCGGAAGAUGAACUUCUGCGAAAGCAUCUGCCAAGGAUGUUUUCAUUGAUCAAGAACGAAAGUUAGGGGAUCGAAGACGAUUAGAUACCAU